AAUUUUGGCUCGUCAAACCAUUUUUGGUAUAUUAGUAGACCCUGGUGCUGCAAUCUUAGUUGUCAUUAUCACUGCCCUAUUAUGCACCGGGAUCAAGGAGAGUUCCCUUGCGCAAGCCAUAAUUACAACCAUCAAUAUUAGUGCUCUAGUGUUUAUUGUCGUAGCUGGUGCUUACUUGGGAUGUAAGACUGCCUGGCCAGGUUAUGAAGUUUCUAGUGGGUACUUCUCUUUUGGAGUAAAUGGGUUGUUGGCUGGCUCUGCGACAGUCUUCUUUUCUUACAUUGGUUUUGAUGUUGUUGCUAGCACAGCUGAGGAGGUAUUAGCUGCAUAUCAUAUAAAAUCCACCAGUUUCGUUCAC